UCGAACCUUAAUCCGAAAAGGAACAACUUGUGAACGCGUAAUCCCACAUGCGGUGCGUGGGGACUUUAACCGGUCGUCACGCUCGCUCAAUCCGUAUGGUCAUGCGCAUUCAAACGAGUGCACACUCGUUAGGCUGCACGUGGUUCUGUCGGAAUUCACCAAACCCCGGCGCGGAAAGCGUCAAGGACCAUUCAACGAAACAGCUCACCCUGAAUGCAACCUAAUAGGUUUGUAUACGUGUGUGAUGCCUGCUAUCAUAAGUCUAUAACGACUCUCGGCAACGGAUAUCUCGGCUCUCGCAUCGAUGAAGAACGUAGCGAAAUGCGAUACUUGGUGUGAAUUGCAGAAUCCCGUGAACCAUCGAGUUUUUGAACGCAAGUUGCGCCCCAAGCCGUCAGGCCGAGGGCACGCUUGCCUGGGUGUCACGCAUCGUCAUCUCCCCCACCCGUCAAAGCUUGUGCUUGGGUGAUUAAGGAGAAGGAGAUUGGUCUCCCGUGUGUUACCGCACGCGGUUGGCCUAAAAUCGAGACAAGGGGGCGUGAAGCUACUUGACGAGCGGUGGUGUAAGAUGCCUCGUGCAAAAGUCGGUUGCUUUCGUCCCCAACGGAGUCUAUGACCCUUUAAGUGUCGUUUGCGCGAUUUCUUCGGACGCGACCCCAGGUCAAGUGGGA
rnacentral:rRNA from 1 species